rnacentral:lncRNA from 1 species
AGAACAGCAAGUGACAAGACUGAGGCAGGCAGAGUGGCCGAGCGGGGUAGAGGGGCUGGAGACAGCAGUCAUGUGGAUGUUUUGGCACACAGGGGUCUGAAGGAGCCUGAUUGUUGAAGCAAAACUUCCCGUUUACCUACUGAUUGGAGGGUUUUUGAGCAUCUGGAAGCCAGAACAAAAAUGACCAUCCAUCCUCCCGCUGACCUUCCAGAUGACUGCAGGUGCAUGAGCACGCCCAGCAGGGAUCAGCUGAGCAAAAUCACCUCGCCGAAUCAUAGGCAGCAAGAAAAAAAGGCAGAGCGACAUGAUGAGGAAAACAAAAAGAUGAGAUUGCUUACACCCUGCAGCUGUGUCUUUAGCCUUGCAUAAAGCUUUUCUUCUUUUACUUUAAUCAGUAGGGCGUGCUCAGAAAUGUAAAAUGGCCUUUCAAAUGGCAUGUGUUUUCAGCCUAAACAUCAUCUCAUAAUUCAUGCUACAAGUGUUUCAAAACCUUUAGAUGAAAGUAGCAUAAUGACAGAUAUUUUAUUAGAGUAUGAAGCAUUUUGGUACAAAUACUUCAGUCUUGAAGCGUUCCCAACAGAACUUUUACCUGCUUCCCACGAAGGUGGUUUUAGAUCCAAGAAAACCAUUUGCUUGUAGAGAGAUGUGGAGAAUGCAGGAUGGCAGAUGCACACUCCCUUUAUCUCCUUUUUUCAAAGCUUACAGCAAAAGAAAAUGUCAGUGAAAACUCAUAAUCCCUUAGCAUCUAAUAGUAGUUGGAAAGAAGAAUGGCUUGAAAUAAGAAUCAGCAAUCCUUUUAUCACUAUGAACUACAGAGUGGAAUUCUGCAUAAGAGAAGUCUGUCUUGCAUCACUUCUUGUAAGCUUAGUCAGUGAAGUAUAUUUCAUUUAUAGAAAUCAUCCCAUCAUUCAACCUGUGCUUAUUGAGAGUCUCCUCAUAA